GCGAUGGUGGGGUUCGUGUCGGCGGUGGCGGUGGAGGUGGCACGGGGCAACGGGCUGUUCGCCCAGCUGGCGGACGGGGGCGUGUCGUGGUUUGUUGGGACGGCGGUGGUGCUGACGGCGGCGUCGCUGGUGCCACUGUUGAAGGGGGUGAGUGUUCAGUCAAAGUCGAGCGGGCUGAUGACGGCUGAUGCGGAGCUGUGGAACGGCCGGUUCGCCAUGCUCGGUCUGGUCGGACUGGCUUUCACAGAGUACUUGACGGGAGGGCCUCUGGUUUAAUUUUG
rnacentral:misc_RNA from 1 species